GACGACGCUGGCGGCGUGCCUAACACAUGCAAGUCGAGCGGAGAUAUAUGGAGGAAGUUUUCGGAUGGAGUUUAUAUAUUUAGCGGCGGACGGGUGAGUAACGCGUGAGGAACCUGCCCUUUACAGGGGGAUAACGCACCGAAAGGUGCACUAAUACCGCAUGAGACCACAGCACCGCAUGGUGCAGGGGUCAAAGGAGUAAUCCGGUGAAGGAGGGACUCGCGUCCGAUUAGAUAGUUGGUGGGGUAAGGGCUCACCAAGUCAACGAUCGGUAGCCGACCUGAGAGGGUGAUCGGCCACAUUGGAACUGAGACACGGUCCAAACUCCUACGGGAGGCAGCAGUGGGGAAUAUUGGGCAAUGGGGGGAACCCUGACCCAGCGACGCCGCGUGAGGGAAGAAGGUUUUCGGAUUGUAAACCUCUGUCCUUGGUGAAGAGUAGAAGACGGUAGCCAAGGAGGAAGCCCCGGCUAACUACGUG
rnacentral:rRNA from 1 species